GACGAACGCUGGCGGCGUGCCUAAUACAUGCAAGUCGAACGCACUCUCGUUUAGAUUGAAGGAGCUUGCUCCUGAUUGAUAAACAUUUGAGUGAGUGGCGGACGGGUGAGUAACACGUGGGUAACCUGCCCUAAAGUGGGGGAUAACAUUUGGAAACAGAUGCUAAUACCGCAUAAAACCUAAACACCGCAUGGUGUAGGGUUGAAAGAUGGUUUCGGCUAUCACUUUAGGAUGGACCCGCGGUGCAUUAGUUAGUUGGUGAGGUAAAGGCUCACCAAGACCGUGAUGCAUAGCCGACCUGAGAGGGUAAUCGGGCCACACUGGGACUGAGACACGGCCCAGACUCCUACGGGAGGCAGCAGUAGGGAAUCUUCCACAAUGGACGAAAGUCUGAUGGAGCAACGCCGCGUGAGUGAAGAAGGUUUUCGGAUCGUAAAACUCUAGUUGUUGGAGAAGAAUGUAUCUGAUAGUAACUGAUCAGGUAGUGACGGUAUCCAACCAGAAAGCCACGG
rnacentral:rRNA from 1 species